GGUGAACGCUGGCGGCGUGCCUAACACAUGCAAGUCGAGCGAAGCACUCUACUCGAUUUCUUCGGGAUGAAGGUUUAGUGACUGAGCGGGCGACGGGUGAGGUAACGCGUGGAUAACCUGCCUCAUACAGGGGGAUAACAGUUAGAAAUGACUGCUAAUACCGCAUAAGCGCACAGUACCGCAUGGUACGGUGUGAAAAACUCCGGUGGUAUGAGAUGGACCCGCGUCUGAUUAGCUAGUUGGUGAGGUAACGGCUCACCAAGGCGACGAUCAGUAGCCGACCUGAGAGGGUGACCGGCCACGUUGGGACUGAGACACGGCCCAA
rnacentral:rRNA from 1 species